UGCUGUGGAACUUCCUUCAGUCUGUGGACCUGCCUUUGCCAUUGCUGAAUCUGGAGGUGAUUUCAUCACAGGCAAGUCCCAGCUGCCCUAAUUUUGUGAUCUGUCCCUGUGCCCUGCAUUCCAAAGGAGACUGUAUGUUUCCUAAGUCCCUGGUCUUUGGGGAUUUGGAAGAAAGUAUCUGAAAAGUAUUUGAAUCAACUUGAGGGAGCUGAGUGAUAACCACCUGCACUUGUGAGGUUUUGAGGGUCUUAGUGCAGGCACCUCCCAGAUCUGUAGGCAGUAGUGCUGGGGAACAAAGUAGGCAUGUCUUCCUGGACUUCUAUGUGGAAGCUCUGCUAAAGCCUCUUAAUUCUUGUUCUGGGAAAAGAUAAGGGCUUACAAGCACCUCCCUCCUUGUUUAAAAACCCCAACAGCUGUCAGGAUUGUGCUCCAUAAGUCCUAGGGGACCAUGCAAACUGCAUCAUCCUGUUUCUAUUCACAGAGGUGUCAUUUCCACACUGGGAGGAUGAGGAUCAGAUGCAUGGAUCAGAAUCACUCAAAUAGAGGGAUUUUGAGCAAUAUUUUGGGUUGUGAUUGGGUUCAGGGUUUUAUAUCUGUUUUCCCAGACAGUGUGGCCAUGCCUGAAUUUCAUUAUGAAAAUGCUCCCCCACAGCCUGAUGCCUCUAAGUUUCACUACACCUGGUCAGGCAUCCAGACAACCAGCUUGAAGUGCAGGUCACUGUCCCAUAGAUUUGGUUCCCAUCAGUCAUUUACCGAGAUGCAAGCAACAAGAAUGAAGUUGUUUGGAUGCUACCAGCAAAUCACCUUGAGAGUCUUCUCAACUGUGUUUUCAUCUUACUAGGUGAAAACUAAUAAGUAAUUUAAAAAUUAGGAUCUCAAAUCUAAAAAAAAAAAAAAAAAAUUCUCAGGGCUCCAGGAAAAUAAUUGCCUAGCCAAAGAAGAGGCUCUCAUUUCAAUAGGAACCAUAGUUAUAAGAACUUCAUCCCUACAAGGAAAAAUACUUUGGGAAUUUAUUUUGGGGAAGGCAGUCACUUUCAGUCUGAAAGGCAAUAUUGGCAGGGCUAUCUAUAGAGGCAGACACUUAAGGACAGCUGUUUGGAGAUCAAUGUCAGCUUUCUAGUCUUCUUUGCCCUUGUGGAUGCAAAAGAGGAUCAGGGCUCUGGCAGAUUGCAGCAUCCACUCACAUCAGGUAGUAGGAAUGCUUUGGAUUCCUGGUCCCAGCAAGCCAGCCCUCACUUGCUCACAGCAAAACAUCCAUGUUCCUAAAUCCAGGUAAUGCCCCAGAGGAAAAAGGUAAAAGUCACUACCCAGUGAAGGCCAACUCACAUGCUAGUGAUAUUCUCCUCUUUCAGUUUGUCCCAGAGGGUGGUGGGGGAGCGUUUAUGCCUGCUUCCUACCCACCUUCCUUAUUCCAUUUUCCUUUCCUUCCCUCCUUCUUACCAUCCUGCCUUCCUGCCAGACUUCCUCUCUUCCUCUUUUCCUCCCUCUCUCCUUUUUACAAACCAACACUGUGCCAGGCACUUCCAUAGAUGCUAAAGAUACUAUAAUAAGAUGAGAUCUCUGCAUUUGGGGAGCUAGAGACCAUUACCAUCCCAUGUGUUCAGUAAUUGACAAGGUUGCUCUGAAGACCUCCUUUAGAAGGUGGUACCAAGUCAAGAUACAUAGGUACAUCUGUUCAUGAAGAAAUCAGAAUUUCCCCAGCUUCAAUUUGCCUGUCAAAGAUGACACCAAUUAAGUACUAAUAGAUUACCUUACCAUAUCAAAGUAUACUGAGUUGGCUAGUUAUUCAUUAACAUUUCUAAUCAGCACAAGAGCUGAACUAGUGUAGACUCACAGUAUAGAUGUUUAUUAAUAUGUAUCUCUGCUUCUGAAAUGGUAUUUCACUCAUUUUGUGUCCCAGGAAAACCCCUACUUGUUGGUGGUGAGAAAUAGGAACACAUGUUUAUGGAAACUGUAGAUGUUACCUAAAUAUUCUGUUUAGUGCCCUGGACACUUUCUAUUACUUAGGGGCCCUUCAAAGUGUCUCUUGGGAGACAUAAAUGUGAAGUACUUCAAGGGAAACAUCAAAUAUCCUCGGACUGUUCAGAUAGAAAUGAUCUCACACUAUGGAGUGGGUGCCACAUGUCAGCCCUGAGCCAGGAGCACUGAGCCUAGUCUCAGUCACAACAAACCCAUCAGAGGCGCUCUCAUCGGCCUCAUUUUAUGGUAACAGAAACCAAGUCACUGGGACUGAAUGUAACUGCCCAUGGUCAUACAACCACAAGCAGAGGGGCCACACCAGGGGCUCAAGCCUCUUUCACUUCUAGGUAGAUGCUCCUAACCCCUAGCCUGUGCUUCUUUAAGUGUGGUCCCUAAAUCAGCCACCCGCACCUCACCGGGAAGCUGGGUAAGACCCCCAGAAUCUCAACCUGCAUCUUCCAAGGUCAGCUAGGUGAUUUUUCCAUCCAUAUAACGAACUUAGAUAAGUGCUUCUGGCCACUCAGCAUGGAUAGAAAACUUCAGGGAGGUGCAUGGAAUGUCUUCAUGGCUGUACAGUAUUGUCACUUACAUGGGAAGGAAGGCUUACCUCCCUGGGUGGAAGAGUUGCAGGGAGAUCAGUUUAUACUAUGCAUGAGGAAGCCAGUUAUAAUGACCAGGGUAGCACCUGACAUGAGGAGUUAGGGGUGCUGAGCUUCCCAUGGUUAGAGAUGCUCCAUGGAAGCUGAUGAUCCUUUUGCUAAGACACACAUAGUUACAGAUAUCAUAAGUGACAAAACCGUGGCUUUGACCCAGGUCAUGACCCAGGUUAUAUGUUGGGCUUCCAGUAAGCCAAUGGCAAGGAUCCAAAAAUCUAAGUGGGAGCUGACCAUAAUGUAUAUAAUUGAAGAAUCAUUUGCAUUUAGAAGAGGAACUCUAACCAGGGAGAACAGGCAUCAUGGUGGCACAUACCUGGACUCCCAGCUACU
rnacentral:lncRNA from 1 species